rnacentral:rRNA from 1 species
GGUAAUACGUAGGUGGCAAGCGUUGUCCGGAAUUAUUGGGCGUAAAGGGCUCGCAGGCGGUUUCUUAAGUCUGAUGUGAAAGCCCCCGGCUCAACCGGGGAGGGUCAUUGGAAACUGGGGAACUUGAGUGCAGAAGAGGAGAGUGGAAUUCCACGUGUAGCGGUGAAAUGCGUAGAGAUGUGGAGGAACACCAGUGGCGAAGGCGACUCUCUGGUCUGUAACUGACGCUGAGGAGCGAAAGCGUGGGGAGCGAACAGGAUUAGAUACCCUGGUAGUCCACGCCGUAAACGAUGAGUGCUAAGUGUUAGGGGGUUUCCGCCCCUUAGUGCUGCAGCUAACGCAUUAAGCA